GUCGAAUAGUGUUGUCCCUACAUGACCUCAGGCGAUGCUAGGGGCCAUUGCUUUGGAUUUGUGUUGACGACGAGUUGAAGUUGUCUGCUGCGGGUUCGCCGUUGCUCUGAAGUUUGGUGUUUUACGUCGCCUUCAUUGAAGAAUUCAGACAAAGAAAUGGAUGCAUCUGCCAUGGCUCAUACUCCAGAGGAGCAGGGCUCCAAGAGGAAGUACUAUCGCGACCCUUCCCGCAGGGUGUUCGUCAACCGAUCCCUCCAUCUGGAGAAGAUCAAGUUCUUCGGGUUCGACAUGGACUACACCCUGGCCGUCUACAAGUCGCCGGCGCUGGAGAAGUUCGCCUUCGAGCUCAUCAAGAAGCGUAUGGUGGACAUCGGCUACCCGGCUGAAAUCAUGCAGUUCGAGUAUGACCACAGCUUCCCGAUCAGAGGUCUGUGGUUCGAUACCCAGUUCGGUAACCUGCUGAAGGUGGACGCCUACGGAAACAUCCUCGUCUGCGUGCACGGCUUCAAGUUCCUCAAAAAGGCGGAGAUCUACGAAAUGUACCCGAACUCGUUCAUCACACUGGACGACUCGCGCGUCUACGUCAUGAACACGCUAUUCAACCUGCCGGAGAUCUACAUCCUGGCGUGCGCCAUCGACUUCUUCUCUAACGACCCGUCCUACACUCUGUCCAAUGACGGCGUGAGGAACGGCGACCUCUUCAUGAGCUACAAGUCCAUCUUCCAGGAUGUGCGCCAGAGUGUCGACUGGGUCCACAUGAAGGGUGACCUAAAGAAGCACACUGUAGCCUCCAUCGACGACUACGUCCACCGGGACGAGCGGCUGCCCAUGCUGCUCGACCGGCUCCGCGAGAACGGCGUAAAGACGUUCCUGCUGACAAACUCCGAGUUCUGGUACACAGAGGCCAUCAUGACGUUCCUGCUCAACUUCGAUAGUUCGCGGUCGUGGCGCUCCUACUUUGACUACAUUGUGGUGGACGCGCGCAAGCCGCUGUUCUUUGCCGAGGGCACCAUCCUGCGCCAGGUGGAUGAGUCGACGGGCGCGCUGAAGAUCGGCCACCACAUGGGCCCGCUGCAGUCCGGCAAAGUCUACUCGGGAGGCUCGUGCGAGGUGUUCUCCCGACUGAUCAACGCCAAGGGUCGCGACGUGCUGUACUUCGGCGACCACAUCCACGGCGACAUCCUCAAGUCGAAGAAGAUUGUCGGCUGGAGGACGUACCUGAUCGUGCCGGAGCUGACGCAGGAACUCUCCGUGUGGACGCAGAAGUGCCAGCUCUUCAACCAGCUGCAGAGUCUUGACGUCAAGCUCGGCACGCUCUACAAGAACAUGGACUCGUCAACCAAGGAGAAGCCGGACAUCCGGCAGGUGCGACAGGAGAUCAAGGGCAUCACGCACGAGAUGGACAUGAGCUACGGCCUGCUGGGCAGCGUGUUCAGGAGCGGCUCCCGGCAGACCUUCUUCGCCGCUCAGGUGAACCGGUACGCCGACCUGUACGGCGCCACCAUGCUCAACAUGCUCUACUACCCCUUCUCCUACAUGUUCCGCGCGCCAGCCAUGCUGCUGCCGCACGAGUCGACGGUCACCCACGAGCAGACGUUCGUGGCCGACGGGCCGGCACUGACCCGCGCCCGCACACUGGGAGGACCGGCCAGCAGCGGCGGAGGCUCGCCCACCACACCGCCGGCGUUCCUACCCUCGGUCGAGCCGCUGCCCGAGACCCAGGUAAGACUGACGGGACACGAUCUCUCGGCCUCUCCUCUCAGUCUGUCCUAUGUUAGGUAUCCGCCGUUAGAUGGCUGCCAGUAUAAUCCCGUCCUACAGAUUUAUAAAAUCGACAUCGGUUUCAGAAGUAUGUAUGUUGAAUGAUCGUUUGGUGUAAAUUUAUGUGACGAAGAGCCGAAGUUAUUUCUUGCCGACUGACUUGCAUGCUCUGUUGGGUGUCAGGGAGAACGUCUACUUCAGGUAACUGUCGCUGGGUGUCAGCAGCGCCGCGGCUGCUUGUUCGGCCGCUGGAAGCUGUAUCCGGUCACUGUUCUUCAGUGGCAUUUGUCCACUGCCUGUUCAUCGCCUGUUCGUUGGCAGUCUCGUUCUUCUACUGUGAUUUUCAAUUGCUCGGCAUUGUACAUUGUCUCAAGUGUUGGAUGUAAUUUUUAUUGUAAACGGAUUGCCGAAGCGUUAAUUGCGCUCGGACUUCGUAUGCACUGUUCGCUGUGGAUCUUCAGCCUGAAAGAGUGCAGCGCUGACGAGCGCCUGUACUCUCUGUCUGUAAAGUGUUGGCCGUUCUCUGUACAGUCUGUGUCAGUGGCACGGGUCCUGUGUGUUUUACUGUAUGUACAUACCGGCCUGGCCUCUUAACACUGAUGGUUCACUUUGUGUUGUCAGGGUCGCCGACGGAGGAUGCUGGAGCGUUCUCACACACUCACCAGACCGGAGAUGCCACGCAGUCUCACCCACCACCACGACGACGAUGAGGAUUCCGACGACAGCAACGGCUCCAAGUAGGCGCCGCUCGGUCUCGAGUGUCGGCUCGUGUCGCCGUGCCGUGGUCCGGCCGCCGGGGCUCGAUACCCGUGCCGGUUUUAGGUCUGUUCAGUGAGCGGGGUAAGCCGAGGCGCUAUGGGCCUCUGGGUCGGCUGUACAGUGUACAGGACGGACUGCCGGGCGGCUGCGGGUGGUUUGUUCUGGGCGGCUUGCAGCCACAGGGCCGAUGCCGUGGCCCGUCAGUCGGUGGGUGUCGCCACAGAGUUACCACCGGAACUCGCAGUGUGGGCGGAGACUGAGGCUCCUACUGCCCGCCUCCGGCUGAUGCUGACGCCAAUGACGCUACUGACUUGCGCUGACAAUCAGCCGCCGCCGCGCUGCCCCGCACACGGGUGUGCUAGAGUACUAUUGCCAUGCUUUACCGCGUCGUUGUAGCGGGUUUUUACUCGGGCGCGGUGCGACGCUGCGCCCGGCGUCCGACGUCGUGGCCAGCGGUGCCCAGGUGAGGCCGGGCGCGCUUCUGUCUGUGUUAACGCUCUCAGAAUCUAGACCCAUCGCUUAGUGCCGCGGCGCUAUUUAUUUUUAUUAGAGGUUAGUCUGUGUGUAGACGUUGGCCGGCCGCGGGCCCGGCCGGUGCGCUGUUUUAGUCCCUAGUGGAGGGCCGAGUGUCUGUGACCGGAUUGGUGGCUGCCUGCGAGCGGCCUGACCGGGCGGCUCCACUCCAUUGUUGCUUCAAUACAGAGAACACAUACCGACG
rnacentral:misc_RNA from 1 species